AAACCUUGUGGGAAUGAGCGGGGACCACCCCGUAAGGCUAAAUACUCCUUAGUGACCGAUAGCGCAUAGUACUGUGAAGGAAAGGUGAAAAGGACCCCGGGAGGGGAGUGAAAGAGAACCUGAAACCCUGUGUUUACAAGCUGUGGAACAUCUUUAUAUGAUGAACCGCGUACUUUUUGUAGAACGGUCCGGCGAGUUACGCCAUCUGGCGAGGUUAAGUUCUUAAGGAAUGGAGCCGAAGUGAAAACAAGUCUUAAUAGGGCGUUAAGUCAGAUGGAGUAGACCCGAAACCGGGUGAUCUAUCCAUGUCCAGGAUGAAGUUGCCGUAAAAGGCAAUGGAGGUCCGAACCCACAUCCGUUGAAAAGGGUGGGGAUGAGGUGUGGAUAGGGGAGAAAUUCCAAUCGAACCCGGAGAUAGCUGGUUCUCCUCGAAAUAGCUUUAGGGCUAGCCUCAUGCAAGUCUUACGGAGGUAGAGCACUGAAUUCCUAAGGGGGCGUCAAAGCUUACCAAGGGAUAUCAAACUCCGAAUGCCGUGUAGAUGGUGCAUGGGAGUCAGACUAUCCGAGAUAAGUUGGGUAGUCAAAAGGGAAAGAGCCCAGACCUACAGCUAAGGUCCCAAAAUGUGUGUUAAGUGGAAAAGGAUGUGGGAUUUCGAAGACAACCAGGAUGUUGGCUUAGAAGCAGCCAUACAUUAAAAGAGUGCGUAAUAGCUCACUGGUCGAGAGGUCCUGCGCCGAAAAUGUCCGGGGCUGAAACACACUACCGAAGCCGUGGAAUCAUCGCAAGAUGAUUGGUAGAGGAGCAUUCUUAAAGAGAAGAAGCUGUACCGGAAGGAGCAGUGGAUUUUUAAGAAGAGAGAAUGCCGGAAUGAGUAGCGAGAGGAAGGUGAGAAUCCUUCCGGCCGAAUAUCUAAGGUUUCCAGAGUAAAGCUGAUCUGCUCUGGGUAAGUCGGGGCCUAAGGCGAGGUCGAAAGACGUAGUCGAUGGAUAACAGGUUGAAAUUCCUGUACUAUGAUAUGACAGAACUGUGGGGACACGUGUGGAAAGCGGAAGCCGGGAAUGGAAAGACCGGUGCAAGCAAGGUAGGAGACUGGUUGGCAAAUCCGCCAGUCAAUCUGAAGAUGUGAUGCGUACUGAAAUAUAAGUAAGGAAGUCCGUGAGCCAUGCGUCAAGAAAAGCCGCUAUUGUUCAUAUCGUACCCGUACCGUAAACCGACACAGGUGGAUGAGGAGAGAAUCCUAAGGCCGACGGGAGAAGCAUUGUUAAGGAACUCGGCAAAAUGACUCCGUAACUUCGGGAGAAGGAGUGCCAUGUAAAAGUGGCCGCAGAGAAUUGGCCCAAGCAACUGUUUAGCAAAAACACAGGUCUAUGCAAAACCGAAAGGUGAGGUAUAUGGGCUGACGCCUGCCCGGUGCUGGAAGGUUAAGGGGAGAGGUUAGUCGUAAGGCGAAGCUUUGAACUUAAGCCCCAGUAAACGGCGGCCGUAACUAUAACGGUCCUAAGGUAGCGAAAUUCCUUGUCGGGUAAGUUCCGACCCGCACGAAAGGCGUAAUGAUUUGGGCACUGUCUCAAC
rnacentral:rRNA from 1 species